AUCAAAAUACAUAUCGACAGCUGGAAUCGCACUCACAAAUACCUCUUCUUCCUGCUUCAUUUUCUUCCAACAUCAAAAUAUGGCUUAAAUUCCCUUCCCUUUUCCCUUCAGCGAGAAAUCUGACACCCAUCACCCAAAAAUCACGUCGCCCCUCUCCUUGCGUUGCCGUUUUCCUCAUCUCCCGGUGGUUCGUUCUCUCCACUGGAUUCCAUUUGGGAACAAGAAACACAUGUUGCAUGUCCCGAUUCAUUACCGUUUUGACGAGGAUUUUCGAAAUUUACCCCAAUUGUAUUCUCUCUCUUUCUGCACUUUGGAAAGGUUGACUCAUAAUCUUUAGGCUUCAAACAGAUUCUGUAAAUCAGUGUUGGUGGAGGAGUUGUUCCGCAGCCCAGGAAGAACAGAGCAACGUGUUUGAAAUAAGGCAAUAUUGUGGAAUAUGUGGAUAUGGGAGACAAGAAUUAAAGUGCAUUUAUUGCGGUGCACUUUUUUGGCUAAAAGAGUCUCUUAAGCAAAAAUCUCAGAAUUGAAGAGGAUGUUAGUAUGUCAUCCUCAACUUUUUGCAUGUAAUAUAUGAAUGUAAAUAGAACUCUCUGGCUAUGGUGUACGACCAUCCCAAUUUUUGUCAUGUAAUAUAAGAAUGUAAUAUAUGUAUACAACGCUACUCUUUGGCACAUAUUUUCUCAUGUAUAUAAGCCCUACUUUUUACACGUUUAAGAUCAUUUUGAAACCCGCAGCAUCGCGCGGGCCUCUAUUGCUAGUGAUAACAAAGAAGGGAAAACGAAAACCAACAAAAUACAGAAAAGUAAGGUCCAGGUAUUCUCACCCCGGUAAUAUUGCUAGGAAACUAAUGUGUGUAUUCAAUUGUAUAAACUAAUGACAUAAAUUUGGUGUUUGGAUUAUUAGUUAAGUAUUAG
rnacentral:sRNA from 1 species